CAGGCACUUCGGAGAUGCCGUUCCCUGCUUCAGCAGUUGACUUAUGGGUGUGAUAGGACGAGGGAAUGGGUAAUGCAGUGGGAAGGUGAAGAGCCAAGUGAUGCUCCAGAAGGGGCUGAAAGGAGCAGAGAGUGGAGCAGAGCCCUUGGAAAGGCUGGGGAUGAGGCAGAACUCCCAGCUCAGACUCACACGUGUUGAAUGUGCUUAAACUCUCCCCACCCUGCUAUGAAAACAUAUUUUUACCUGUUCAAGAACAGCAAAUCCCUGUACAUUUUGCUUCUUCGUGCCUCAUGAAGAUGCCACUGGUUGGAAAAACCUGCUCACAUCAGGUGUUUUGCAUUCACGGUUUCAGGUGUAAGGCAUGAGGAGUGUUACCAGCACACCUGAAACUUUGUUCAAGGAUUGUAACUUAAUGUUAAUUGUAUUCUGUCCUGCGAAUUAAAUGCUUAAUGCCUCAUUUUA